UUUGAUGGUGGCUCAGAUUGAACGCUGGCGGCAGGCCUAACACAUGCAAGUCGAGCGGUAACAGAUUGAUAGCUUGCUAUCAAUGCUGACGAGCGGCGGACGGGUGAGUAAUGCCUGGGAAUAUACCCUGGUGUGGGGGAUAACUAUUGGAAACGAUAGCUAAUACCGCAUAAUCUCUUCGGAGCAAAGAGGGGGACCUUCGGGCCUCUCGCGUCAGGAUUAGCCCAGGUGGGAUUAGCUAGUUGGUGGGGUAAUGGCUCACCAAGGCGACGAUCCCUAGCUGGUCUGAGAGGAUGAUCAGCCACACUGGAACUGAGACACGGUCCAGACUCCUACGGGAGGCAGCAGUGGGGAAUAUUGCACAAUGGGGGAAACCCUGAUGCAGCCAUGCCGCGUGUAUGAAGAAGGCCUUCGGGUUGUGAAGUACUUUCAGUUGUGAGGAAGGCGUUGGAGUUAAUAGCUUCAGCGCUGACG
rnacentral:rRNA from 1 species